rnacentral:rRNA from 1 species
CACGUAGGGCGCAAGCGUUGUCCGGAAUUAUUGGGCGUAAAGCGCGUGUAGGCGGUCCGGUAAGUCCGCUGUGAAAGUCGGGGGCUCAACCCUCGAAUGCCGGUGGAUACUGUCGGGCUAGAGUGCGGAAGAGGCGAGUGGAAUUCCUGGUGUAGCGGUGAAAUGCGCAGAUAUCAGGAGGAACACCUAUUGCGAAGGCAGCUCGCUGGGACGUAACUGACGCUGAGACGCGAAAGCGUGGGGAGCAAACAGG